rnacentral:rRNA from 1 species
UCGAGGGGCAGCGGGGAGGAAGCUUGCUUUCUCCGCCGGCGACCGGCGCACGUGUGAGUAACACGUAUGCAACCUGCCCCUGUCAGGGGGACAACCCGCCGAAAGGCAGGCUAUACCCGCGUACAUGCCACCGGGGCAUCCCGGAGGCAGGAAAGGCUUCGGCCGGACAGGGAUGGGCAUGCGGCGCAUUAGGCAGUAGGCGGGGUAACGGCCCACCUAACCGACGAUGCGUAGGGGUUCUGAGAGGAAGGUCCCCCACACUGGUACUGAGACACGGACCAGACUCCUACGGGAGGCAGCAGUGAGGAAUAUUGGUCAAUGGUCGGGAGACUGAACCAGCCAAGCCGCGUGAGGGAUGAAGGUACAGAGUAUCGUAAACCUCUUUUGUCAGGGAACAAAGGCGGGGACGCGUCCCCGGAUGAGUGUACCUGAAGAAAAAGCAUCGGCUAACUCCGUGCCAGCAGCCGCGGUAAUACGGAGGAUGCGAGCGUUAUCCGGAUUUAUUGGGUUUAAAGGGUGCGCAGGCGGUCUGUUAAGUCAGCGGUCAAAGCCCGGGGCUCAACCCCGGCCCGCCGUUGAAACUGGCAGUCUCGAGUUGGAGAGAAGUAUGCGGAAUGCGCGGUGUAGCGGUGAAAUGCAUAGAUAUCGCGCAGAACUCCGACUGCGAAGGCAGCAUGCCGGCUCCACACUGACGCUGAGGCACGAAAGCGUGGGUAUCGAACAGGAUUAGAUACCCUGGUAGUCCACGCAGUAAACGA